rnacentral:rRNA from 1 species
GACGAACGCUGGCGGCGUGCUUAACACAUGCAAGUCGUACGGUAAGGCCCUUUCGGGGGUACACGAGUGGCGAACGGGUGGGUAACACGUGAGUAAGCUGCCCACAACUUUGGGAUAACGCUAGGAAACUGGUGCUAAUACUGGAUACGUGCUACUGCUGCAUGGUGGGGGUUGGAAAGAUCGGGCGGUUGUGGAUGGACUCGCGGCCUAUCAGCUUGUUGGUGGGGUAGUGGCCUACCAAGGCGGCGACGGGUAGCCGGCCUGAGAGGGUGAACGGGCACAAUAGGACUGAGAGACGGCCCAGACUCGUACGGGAGGCAGCAGUGGGGAAUAUUGCACAAUGGGCGCAAGCCUGAUGCAGCAACGCCGCGUGCGGGAUGACGGCCUUCGGGUUGUAAACCGCUUUCAGCAGGGACGAAGCUUUUUGUGACGGUACCUGCAGAAGAAGCACCGGCUAACUACGUG